GCCUGGCUGACUCAAUUGGUAGAGCAUGGGACUCUUGAUUUCAAGGUUGUAAGUUCCAGCCUCAUGUUGGGUA
rnacentral:tRNA from 1 species